ensembl:lncRNA
ACUUGAUCUCAGUCGGCCCCCAUGCUCCAGGGUCUUUUCUUUCUGCAUGCUGAGGACUAUUUGUAACUGAUAACUUGUUUUAUAACUUUUGUGUCUGUCUUUCCCACUGACCUUUAAACUCUGUUGGGAAAGGAGACAUCUGCUUUGUUCACCACUUACGUUUAGUGUAUGUUUGGUACAUAGAGGAAACAAUUAAUAUUGAAGGAGAAAGAGAAAAAUAACUUAAAACAACUUCAUUUAUUAAACCCUGGCUAAGUGACUAGGCAUUCUACUAAACACUUGGCCUGUGUCAGCUCAUCUAAUCUUUCAAAGCACGCAAAGUCUUCCUGGGUGAGCGGUUUCAUUCUACUUCUGGAAUUUGUGAGUGACUUUAUGGUCCUGGUUUUGUAAUUAGUGUGAAAGAGAAAGUGGUCCAUUUCUAAAAUGAGAGGAAUACUCUGCAGAACAAGCUCACCAGGAAGAAAACAGAGGAAGAGAACCUGGAGGAAUAAGCUACUGGAGCUGUGAGCUAUCCUGGGGACCACAGAAUCCAUCCCCUCCCUUAUACUUUGAGGCAAAGACCCCCAAGAGCUACUGUGGCCUGACUGAGGUGUUUCAGCUACAUGACCACCUGCCAGAAAUGCUGUAGAAGAAAUGCUACAAAUUGGGUACCGUAGAAGACGGCAAAAACAGCUGCACUUAUUCUCUUCCUUUUUUACGGGGUCACAACAUCCUCACACAAGUCCAGCAGCACAACCAUGCAGCUGGAUUCGUGUUUUCACCAGCAAAGAACUGACGGUUUUUGAAAUUAGUGAGGAGGGGCUUGAUUUGUUCCGUAGCCCCUGCCAUGAAAGGCUUUACUCUUCUGGUCUCUAUACUUCAGGUUUCCGUCAUCUUUAAUGUACUUCUUGUAAGCUCCUUUUGUGAAGCUUGUUUCCUGCAAGUGAUGCUUCAUGACAGUAUGGACACCAGUGAUUACUGUGCUUUAGGUACCUUCGCCCCCUUCAGUGGAGCCAUUUCCAUCAAUGAGCCGAGCCAUCAGUGUUACCCUCUGUGCUACGACCAGCUUCCCCUCCACUUCCAGAC